rnacentral:rRNA from 1 species
UUCUGGUUGAUCCCGCCAGACCUGACUGCUAUCGGAUUGAUACUAAGCCAUGCGAGUCAUUGUAGCAAUACAAGGCAUACGGCUCAGUAACGCGUAGUCAACCUAACCUAUGGACGGGAAUAACCUCGGGAAACUGAGAAUAAUGCCCGAUAGAACAUUAUACCUGAAAUGGUUUAUGUUCCAAAUGAUUUAUCGCCGUAGGAUGGGACUGCGGCCUAUCAGUUUGUUGGUGAGGUAAUGGCCCACCAAGACUAUUACAGGUACGGGCUCUGAGAGGAGUAGCCCGGAGAUGGGUACUGAGACACGGACCCAGGCCCUAUGGGGCGCAGCAGGCGAGAAAACUUUGCAAUGUGCGAAAGCACGACAAGGUUAAUCCGAGUGAUUUCUGCUAAAGAAAUCUUUUGUUAGUCCUAGAAACACUAACGAAUAAGGGGUGGGCAAGUUCUGGUGUCAGCCGCCGCGGUAAAACCAGCACCUCAAGUGGUCAGGAUGAUUAUUGGGCCUAAAGCAUCCGUAGCCGGCUCUGUAAGUUUUCGGUUAAAUCUGUACGCUUAACGUACAGGCCGCCGGGAAUACUGCAAAGCUAGGGAGUGGGAGAAGUAGACGGUACUCGGUAGGAAGUGGUAAAAUGCUUUGAUCUAUCGAUGACCACCUGUGGCGAAGGCGGUCUACUAGAACACGUCCGACGGUGAGGGAUGAAAGCUGGGGGAGCAAACCGGAUUAGAUACCCGGGUAGUCCCAGCUGUAAACUAUGCAAACUCAGUGAUGCAUUGGCUUGUGGCCAAUGCAGUGCUGCAGGGAAGCCGUUAAGUUUGCCGCCUGGGAAGUACGUACGCAAGUAUGAAACUUAAAGGAAUUGGCGGGGGAGCACCACAAGGGGUGAAGCCUGCGGUUCAAUUGG